rnacentral:rRNA from 1 species
GACGAACGCUGGCGGCGUGCCUAAUACAUGCAAGUUGAGCGCUGAAGGUUGGUACUUGUACCAACUGGAUGAGCAGCGAACGGGUGAGUAACGCGUGGGGAAUCUGCCUUUGAGCGGGGGACAACAUUUGGAAACGAAUGCUAAUACCGCAUAAAAACUUUAAACACAAGUUUUAAGUUUGAAAGAUGCAAUUGCAUCACUCAAAGAUGAUCCCGCGUUGUAUUAGCUAGUUGGUGAGGUAAAGGCUCACCAAGGCGAUGAUACAUAGCCGACCUGAGAGGGUGAUCGGCCACAUUGGGACUGAGACACGGCCCAAACUCCUACGGGAGGCAGCAGUAGGGAAUCUCCGGCAAUGGACGAAAGUCUGACCGAGCAACGCCGCGUGAGUGAAGAAGGUUUUCGGAUCGUAAAACUCUGUUGGUAGAGAAGAACGUUGGUGAGAGUGGAAAGCUCAUCAAGUGACGGUAACUACCCAGAAAGGGACGGCUAACUACGU